rnacentral:tRNA from 1 species
GCCACUGAGCUUAGUGUAGAGCGUCUGCUCGUAAGCAGAAGGUCGUCAGUUCAAUCCUGGCAAGUGGCU